rnacentral:rRNA from 1 species
UGCAGUCGACGGCAGCACAGGGGAGCUUGCUCCCUGGGUGGCGAGUGGCGGACGGGUGAGUAACGCGUAGGAAUCUGCCUUAUAGAGGGGGAUAACUCGGGGAAACUCGAGCUAAUACCGCAUAAUCUUUAAGAAGCAAAGCAGGGGAUCUUCGGACCUUGCGCUAUAAGAGGAGCCUGCGUUGGAUUAGCUAGUUGGUAGGGUAAAGGCCUACCAAGGCGACGAUCCAUAGCUGGUCUGAGAGGAUGACCAGCCACACUGGGACUGAGACACGGCCCAGACUCCUACGGGAGGCAGCAGUGGGGAAUAUUGGACAAUGGGGGCAACCCUGAUCCAGCAAUGCCGCGUGUGUGAAGAAGGCCUGCGGGUUGUAAAGCACUUUUAGUUAAGAGGAAAGGUUGAAUGCGAAUAGCAUUUGGCUGUGACGCUAUUAACAGAAAAAGCACCGGCUAACUCUGUGCCAGCAGCCGCGGUAAUACAGAGGGUGCAAGCGUUAAUCGGAAUGACUGGGCGUAAAGGGCGCGUAGGUGGUUAAUUAAGUUAGAUGUGAAAUCCCUGGGCUUAACCUAGGAACUGCAUUUAAUACUGGUUGACUUGAGUAUGGGAGAGGGCAGUGGAAUUUCCGGUGUAGCGGUGAAAUGCGUAGAUAUCGGAAGGAACACCAGUGGCGAAGGCGACUGCCUGGCCUGAUACUGACACUGAGGCGCGAAAGCGUGGGUAGCGAACAGGAUUAGAUACCCUGGUAGUCCACGCAGUAAACGAUGAGAACUAGGCGAGGGGUUAGCUAGACUAACUUCGUGCCGAAGCUAACGCGAUAAGUUCUCCGCCUGGGGAGUACGGCCGCAAGGUUAAAACUCAAAGGAAUUGACGGGGACCCGCACAAGCGGUGGAGCAUGUGGUUUAAUUCGAUGCAACGCGAAGAACCUUACCUACCCUUGACAUGUAUGGAAUCUUGCAGAGAUGUGAGAGUGCCCGCGAGGGAACCAUAACACAGGUGCUGCAUGGCUGUCGUCAGCUCGUGUCGUGAGAUGUUGGGUUAAGUCCCGUAACGAGCGCAACCCUUGUCCUUAGUUACCAUCAUUCAGUUGGGGACUCUAAGGAGACUGCCGGUGAUAAA